GGAAGUAGGGCUUGUGAGGAGUCGGGAGCCAAAUGAUUUGGCUGGAUUUUAAUCCGAAAACAUAAAGAACACUCCUGGAAGUUAUUUUUCAUAAGAAGAAAGUGCCAGAAACCUUUGAAAAGAAGAAGGGACAGGGGAUUUCGAUGUUCUGAACAGUGGAGUUCCCAGGCAGCAGACAGUAGAUAUAAAGCAAUAUACCAAGCUACUGUUGCAGCACUGUAUUCCUUCAUCUUGGCUGGGGUCAUAUUCUGAGUGAUAUUAACCACAUUUCAAACAACUGCAAUGCAAAAUAUAAGGUA